UAGAAAAGAGAGAGGAAAAAAAAGACAUGUACAGUAACCAUCAGUGUUACUUCCACAUAACUUUGGUGGGUCAUAGGAAGUGGAAAUGACACGGGGGGAAGGGCGUGAGGGCGCUGCCAGCCCCUCCCACUGGCAUUGUUUUAUCAGGACAUCUGCUACUUCCUGAAUCAUUGGUGAUGAUGCCAUCCGUUACUUCCUGUAUUGUUGAUGAGGCCAUCGUAAUACCCAAAAUAAGUGAUGAGAACAGGACACAGAGGAGCAGAUAGCCAUUAAGCAUUGUCAUCAGGAGCUGAGUGAGAGGAACAGAGAGCGCUGGUGUCUGGAGAUACAGAUCACGAUGAGACUGGACCAUGUAAGUGUGGUAGCAGCGAGGAAGGUUCCUGAAAGACUGCAGUCCUCCUUAGGCAUCAACGAUCUGCAUCUACUGGCCAUGGAGUACUGCCAAGGAGGAGACCUGAGGAAGGUGUGUUAUUCUUACACACACACCCCGUGGCUACGGCUGAGGACAUGAACGCGUACAAGAAGUCCCACUACGACCUCCGCAGAGUGAUCAAACAGGAAAAAGUACACUAUAGGAACAGGGUGGAAUCCUAUUACACCGGCUCUGACACUUGACGCAUGUCAGAUUACAAAGGAAGACCUAGCUGUGACAUGCCCAACGAUAACUCUUCACCAGAUUAACUACACCUGCAUUGCUUGCUGUUUGGGGUUUUAUGCUGGGUUUCUGUACAGCACUUUGAGAUAUCAGCUGAUAUAAGAAGGGCUAUAUAAAUAAAAUGUAUUUGAUUUGAUGAACUCAAUGCAUUUUAUGCACGCUUCCACAAAAGUAAUGCCAAGCCGCACAUGAGGGCCCUAGACCCAGUCCAAUUUGCAUCCUGCCCCAAAAGAUCUACAGACGAUGCAAUCUCAAUUGCAUUCCA